AACGCACAUUGCACCCCCUGGUAUUCCGGGGGGUAUGCCUGUCCGAGCGUCAUUGCUGCCCUCAAGCCCGGCUUGUGUGUUGGGCCGUCGUCCCCUGGCUCCCCGGGGGACGGGCCCGAAAGGCAGCGGCGGCACCGCGUCCGGUCCUCGAGCGUAUGGGGCUUUGUCACCCGCUCUGCAGGAGCCGGCCGGCGCUGGCCGACGUUUUCCAACCAUUUUUCUCCAGGUUGACCUCGGAUCAGGUAGGGAUACCCGCUGAACUUAA
rnacentral:misc_RNA from 1 species